CAGCACCUCAAGUGGUCAGGAUGAUUAUUGGGCCUAAAGCAUCCGUAGCCGGCUCUGUAAGGUUUCGGUUAAAUCUGUACGCUCAACGUACAGGCUGCCGGGAAUACUGCAGAGCUAGGGAGUGGGAGAGGUAGACGGUACUCGGUAGGAAGGGGUAAAAUCCUUUGAUCUAUUGAUGACCACCUGUGGCGAAGGCGGUCUACCAGAACACGUCCGACGGUGAGGGAUGAAAGCUGGGGGAGCAAACCGGAUUAGAUACCCGAGUAGUCC
rnacentral:rRNA from 1 species